CCAUCACUUUUCAGUUUUACUUAAAUUCAAGCUUUUGUGAAUUUUGUCAUUAAUUUGUGAUUAUUACAGUAUUAUGUCUUUUUAGUAAGUACUGUACUGUAGUUUUACCUUUGCCGUGAUCUGCUCCUAAUUAUCUGGCGUUUUGAGCACUCCUCGGUUAGUCGGUUGGAUAACUUUUAUUCCGCAGAAUCUCCUGAGAGCCAUAACACAUGAUCACGAGUAAUUAUAAUCUGAGAGUUUCUUAUGGUGUCGUUGGCAUCCAUUUUGAAACCGUUCUGUGCUGAUACCCACUUGUGAUGGCUGUCAUCCUAGAAACCACAUUAGGCGACAUAACAAUCGAUCUUCUUGUGAAAGAGCGCCCAAGAGCAUGUAUGAAUUUCCUGAAGCUGUGCAAAAUCAAAUAUUAUAACUACUCCGUAUUCUUCAAUGUCCAACGCGACUUUAUCGCUCAGACCGGCGAUCCGACGGGCACAGGAAAAGGUGGAGAAUCCGUUUUCAGUAAGCUUUAUGGCGAUCAAGCCGCAUUCUUCGAACCAGAGAGCGUGCCUGUGCUCCGACACAUCAAGACAGGAACCGUCUCCAUGGCUGAUAAUGGACACAACAUGCAUGGAUCGCAGUUUUUUAUUACGCUGGGCGAGAAUCUGGACUACUUGGACGGUAAACAUACGGUGUUCGGGGAAGUGAGCGAGGGACUGGAUGUGCUGCAGAAGAUGAAUGAAUCCAUUGUGGACGACCACAAUCGACCGUAUCGCGACAUUAUGAUCAGCCACACAGUGAUUUUGGAUGAUCCCUUUCCUGAUCCCACCGGACUGAAUAUCCCCGAACGCUCGCCUUCUCCUACUAAAGAGCAGCUUGAGUCGAUGAGGCUAGCUCCAGGAGAAUCUGCGGAGGAAUUUGAAGGAUUAUCCAAAGAGGAAAUGGACGAAGUUGUGCAGGAGAAAGAAGCCGGCGCUCGAGCUAAGAUUCUUGAAAUGAUCGGAGACCUUCCCGACGCUGAUAUAAAACCACCUGACAAUGUCUUGUUUGUCUGCAAACUGAAUCCGGUGACUACGGACGAUGAUCUCUUCAUUAUAUUCAGCCGAUAUGGCCCUGUUAAAAGCUGUGAAGUUAUUCGCGACAAAAAAUCCGGAGAGUCGUUGCAGUAUGCUUUUAUCGAAUUUGAAGAGGCCGAUCAUUGUGCAAACGCCUACUUCAAAAUGGAUAACGUGCUGAUUGAUGACAGAAGGAUCCACGUCGAUUUUAGUCAAUCUGUUUCCAAACUGGAUUGGAUGAGCAAAUGGAAACAAUCCCGCGCUGGCAUGGCGAGUAGAGUUGCUCCGAGCGAAAAAAAGGAAAAGCUUCCUCAAAAAUCAGCGGAACGUGAGGGAAAGAACCAUUCCAAAAGCAGCGAUAAGCGAUCGGAAAAAGAUGUUGACCGCAGACGUUCUCCAGGCCCGCCUCGGAGGAUAAGGAGCAGAUCUGACGACAAACACACUGUGCGGAAGUCUUCGCCAUCCCGGCGGUCUCGAUCGCGCGAACGGCGUAGGCGUAACCGUAGUUCUUCCAGGGAUCGCAGUCAUAAAAGGCACUCACCUGUCCGGGACCGAAGCCGAGAGCGCCGUUCCGAACGCGACAAAAGGGAUCGCUCAUCUUCGCCCUCCUCUCACCGGCGCCGAAGACGUUAAGACAGUAAUAUUUGCUUCGAAUAUUUGUUGCCUUUCGAUUGCAAUGAGGUUUGCGCACGAAUUAGACUUCUGCUUUGAACCGGAAGUAAUUAUUUUGUGCUUGAUUGUUUAUCUUUCGAUUGUUUAUGUUCGCAGCUGCAAAAUCAGCAAAUGAACGUACAAUUACUCGGGAAAAUCGUGAUUUCAUCUCGACGACGGCUCAAAGCCUCAAACUCAUUCAUCCGCUUGGAUGCAAUCCCGAUCCGGAUCAAUCUUGCCAAGAUAUUUGUCGUAUCUUUAAGCAUCAUCCAGGGAUCC